UACAUGGGGUGCAAACGUUGCUCGGAAUUAUUGGGCGUAAAGCGCACGUAGGCGGUUUGUUAAGUCGGAUGUGAAAUCCCUCGGCUCAACUGAGGAAGUGCAUCCGAAACUGGCAAGCUUGAGUACGAAAGAGGAUAGCGGAAUUCCCGGUGUAGAGGUGAAAUUCGUAGAUAUCGAGCGGAACACCAGUGGCGAAGGCGAAUCUCUGGACAUUACCUGACACUGAGGCACGAAAGCCAGGGGAGCAAACGGG
rnacentral:rRNA from 1 species